AGCAGCCGCGGUAAUUCCAGCUCCAAUAGCGUAUAUUAAAGUUGUUGCGGUUAAAAAGCUCGUAGUUGGAUCUCGGCGGGCAGGGGGUGGUUCGCUCUUCAGCGCUACUGCCCCGCUUUGCCCGUGUGAUUGGCGGAGGUUUCGGGGUGCUCUUCGUUGAGUGACUCGGAGCGCCGUCAGGUUUACUUUGAAAAAAUUAGAGUGCUCAAAGCAGGCUUUUCACGCUUGAAUAUUCGUGCAUGGAAUAAUGGAAUAGGAACUCGUUUCUAUUUUGUUGGUUUUCGGAAAUCGAGUUAAUGAUUAACAGGGACAAUUGGGGGCAUUAGUAUUCAGACGACAGAGGUGAAAUUCUUGGACCGUCUGAAGACUGACUACUGCGAAAGCAUUUGCCAAGAGUGUUUUCAUUAAUCAAGAACGAAAGUUAGAGGUUCGAAGGCGAUCAGAUACCGCCCUAGUUCUAACCAUAAACGAUGCCAGCUAGCGAUCUGCCGAGUUUUUUUUGUAGGCUCCGCAGGAAGCUUUCGGGAAACCAAAGCUUUUGGGUUCCGGGGGAAGUAUGGUUGCAAAGCUGAAACUUAAAGGAAUUGACGGAAGGGCACCACCAGGAGGGGAGCCUGCGGCUUAAUUUGACUCAACACGGGAAAUCUCACCAGGCCCGGACACUGGAAGGAUUGACAGAUUGAGAGCUCUUUCUCGAUUCGGUGGGUGGUGGUGCAUGGCCGUUCUUAGUUGGUGGAGUGAUUUGUCUGGUUAAUUCCGAUAACGAACGAGACUCUGUCCUGCUAAAUAGUUGGGUCGUCCUUCGUGCGAUCCAAGUUCUUCUUAGAGGGACUGGCUGCGUCUAGCAGCACGAGAUUGAGCAAUAACAGGUCUGUG
rnacentral:rRNA from 1 species